AGUUUACUCACUCAAAAGUUUAUUCUUCCAUUCAUUUCCUUUACUUUUUCAGGAAAAGUGAGGGAGAGAUGCUGCAUUCUAUCCCCGAUUUCCAGUUUUGGGGGAGCAGGAGAUCUGUUUACUAGGUAGCACAGUAUUUUCUCCUGCUACACCUUGGCAUGUGAUUGUACACUAUAUACACAGUGAAUGUCAGGGUAUAACCUCAUAGCACCUGAUACCAGUCUGUUUUUAUGUGGUGACGGACUUAUUGAGAGUACCUCCACCCACCACACAACCUUAUUGCAAUAUCUGGGUGGUGGACUGACAGCAGUUACUCUGCUUGGCAUCCAUAGAUUACAUGGUGAGAAAUGCUUAGACACAGUCCUAACACCUGUC